GGUUUCGUAGCUCAACUGGUACAGCAUUGGCAGCGUUUGAACAUGCUGUUUCUGUCGCUGGUUCGAAUCCAGCCGAAACCC